rnacentral:sRNA from 1 species
AAAUUUCGAUGUGCCGCCUGCCGGGCGCUAAGCGCCGGUGUUGAGAGAGGCGGCGGCCGCCGCGCCCGGGAAAAUGCUGGGCAUGUACGUGCCGGACAGGUUCUCCCUGAAGUCCUCCCGGGUUCAGGACGGCAUGGGGCUCUACACGGCCCGCAGAGUGCGAAAGGGUGAAAAGUUCGGACCCUUUGCUGGAGAGAAGAGAAUGCCUGAAGACUUGGAUGAAAAUAUGGAUUACAGGUUGAUGUGGGAGGUUCGUGGGAGUAAGGGAGAAGUUUUGUACAUUUUGGAUGCUACCAACCCACGGCACUCCAACUGGCUUCGCUUCGUUCAUGAGGCACCAUCUCAGGAGCAGAAGAACUUGGCUGCCAUUCAAGAAGGAGAAAACAUUUUCUAUUUGGCAGUUGAAGAUAUAGAAACAGACACGGAGCUUCUGAUUGGCUACCUGGAUAGUGACAUGGAGGCCGAGGAGGAAGAACAGCAAAUUAUGACAGUCAUCAAAGAAGGGGAUGUUGAAAAUUCUAGAAGACAAUCAACAGCGGGCAGAAAAGAUCGCCUUGGCUGUAAAGAGGACUAUGCUUGUCCUCAAUGUGAAUCGAGUUUUACCAGUGAGGAUAUUCUUGCUGAGCAUCUCCAGACAUUGCACCAGAAACCCACAGAGGAGAAAGAAUUUAAGUGCAAAAACUGUGGGAAGAAAUUCCCAGUUAAGCAGGCUUUGCAAAGACAUGUUCUUCAGUGCACAGCGAAAAGCAGUCUGAAGGAGUCUUCGCGAAGUUUUCAGUGCUCUGUUUGCAAUUCUUCCUUCAGUUCAGCAUCGAGGUUUUGUGUCUGAGUUAUGAAAUGGCUGUUAUAUAAUUGUGGGUCAUUUUUUGCAUGCAUACUUUCAUGCUUCUUAGUAAUUCAGUUUCACGUACCUACAGAAUUUAAAUGCUUUUCUUCUUACCUGCAUAGGUAAUGCAUGGAAUGACCCCGAAACUCUACUAGGGAGCAUGUAUUACAAAAUCUUGCUGAUGUUUGAGUUUUAUAGGUAUGUCUUCACCAUUUCUUCCUGUUCCGCUUUGCUGGUUGUCUUGUAGUUUUGAGCAGCACCAGGAGACUUGCCGGGGGGAUGCCAGGUUUGUGUGCAAGGCUGACAGCUGUGGAAAGAGGCUGAAGAGCAAGGAUGCCCUGAAAAGACACCAGGAAAAUGUCCACACUGGAGAUCCUAAGAAAAAGCUUAUAUGUUCAGUGUGCAAUAAAAAGUGUUCUUCAGCAUCAAGCCUACAGGAACAUAGAAAGAUUCAUGAGAUAUUUGAUUGUCAAGAAUGUAUGAAGAAAUUUAUUUCAGCUAAUCAGCUAAAACGUCAUAUGAUCACCCACUCAGAAAAACGACCCUAUAAUUGCGAGAUUUGUAAUAAGUCUUUCAAGAGGCUCGAUCAAGUGGGUGCUCACAAAGUAAUACACAGCGAAGACAAACCUUACAAAUGCAAACUUUGUGGAAAGGGAUUUGCCCACAGAAAUGUUUACAAGAAUCAUAAGAAGACCCACUCUGAGGAGAGACCGUUCCAAUGUGAAGAAUGUAAAGCUUUGUUCCGGACCCCAUUUUCUUUACAGAGACACCUGCUAAUACAUAACAGUGAGAGGACUUUCAAGUGCCAUCACUGCGAUGCUACCUUUAAGAGGAAGGAUACAUUAAAUGUUCAUGUCCAGGUGGUUCAUGAAAGACACAAGAAGUAUAGGUGUGAGCUAUGUAAUAAGGCCUUUGUUACACCUUCAGUGCUUAGAAGUCAUAAGAAAACACAUACAGGAGAAAAGGAGAAAAUCUGUCCAUAUUGUGGCCAGAAAUUUGCCAGCAGUGGUACACUCAGAGUUCAUAUCCGGAGCCACACAGGUGAGCGUCCCUAUCAAUGUCCUUACUGUGAAAAAGGAUUCAGUAAAAAUGAUGGACUGAAGAUGCACAUUCGUACUCACACCAGGGUUCCAGUGUGACUCAAGAUGGAUUUUGCCACUCUAGCCAUCACAUCCUCAUUCCAGGCAACAGGAAGGAGGAGGCAAGAGAAGGUAACAGGAUAUGCCCCUGCUGAUUACACUUCCACUAAGGAGCUUUCUGGAAGUCCUACCCACCAACUUCCACAUGACCACACUUGGCGGAGAAGCCGUACAAGUGCUCAGAGUGCAGCAAGGCCUUCAGCCAGAAGCGAGGCCUGGAUGAGCACAAGAGGACGCACACUGGAGAAAAGCCUUUUCAGUGUGAUGUUUGUGACUUGGCUUUUAGCCUGAAGAAAAUGCUGAUUCGACACAAGAUGACUCAUAAUCCCAAUCGUCCCCUGGCAGAAUGCCAGUUUUGCCAUAAGAAGUUUACGAGGAAUGACUACCUCAAAGUGCACAUGGACAAUAUCCAUGGUGUAGCUGACAGCUAA